GCCCAGCCGUAAACAAUCACUUACACAACCAACGCCAGGGGAUUACGAGCAAUGCUUAAAACCCAAAGGAUUUGACGGUGUCCAAACCACCUAGAGGAGCCUGUUCUAUAAUCGAUGACCCCCGCUUUACCUAACCAUUUUUAGCUCUUCAGUCUGUAUACCUCCGUCGAAAGCCUACCCUGUGAACGUUCUCAGUAGGCCUAAUGACCUCAUCAGUACGUCAGGUCAAGGUGCAGCUCACAGAAUGGUGAGUAAUGGGCUACAAUUUCUAAAUUAGAACAAACGAAAGGAUAUGUGAAACCAUAGCCACGAAGGCGGAUUUAGUAGUAAAAAGAAAAUAGAGAGUUCUUUUUAACCCGGCUCUUGGACGCGUACACACCGCCCGUCGCCCUCUUCGAUUAUUACUAUUUAGUCCCUAACCCCACUUUUUUCCUUAGAAGAGGUAAGUCGUAACAUGGUAAGUGUACUGGAAAGUGUACUUGGUUUAUACAAAAUGUAACUUAAUUAAAGUCCCUUGCUUACACCAAGACUAUGUCCGUUUAACUCGGAUCAUUUUGAGCCUGAAAUCUAGCCCGCACAACCCCCAUGUUAUUCUUAACCUUUUGCCUCUUAAUAAAACAUUAAAACAUUUUAGUAUAGGAGAUAGAAAAAUUUUUAAGCGCUUCAGAUACAGUACCGCAAGGGAAAGAUGAAAUAAUAAUGAAACAACUUUUAAGCCCCAAAUAGCAGAGAUACCCCCUCG
rnacentral:rRNA from 1 species